GCAGGUGGAACAAUCGUGCGGUCAGCUCCACCUGCCACAACCCUUCCUGAAAGAUCCAGGCCCACAGAAAAGCCAGGAUCCUGUCUUUAAAGACUGCUCUGCUCUCCCACCUCAUCCUGUGUCCAAUAACCGCACCUUCCAACAGCGUUUCUAACCCUGUUCUCUCCAAGCGUGGCCUGCAGCACCUCUCCAGGCCUCUGUUAGAGAAGGCUUGGAAUGGGCUUUACAAAGGCCUUUCUUGAGGAUAUAAUCACCUGUUCUCUGGUGCAGCUCCAGAGGCUCCCUCAUGCAAAGGCAAAGCUCACCACCUUUGUCCAAGCACAGGGUGAAGUAACUGACUGGACAUCCCAAAGUUAGGUGGUCCUGAGAGCCAGGUUGAAUAGAAGUGUUCAGAGGGGACACCAACUGCUGACAGCUGCCUCACCUUAAGAGUCUCCUUUCGUUAUGGCAUCUGGAAAGAUCUCACAUGGCAGGCCUGCUUCUAGUUCCUUGUUCCUAGUGUGUCUGAGGAAAUCCAAUCUCUCCCACUCCAGCCCGCCUACUCAUUGAACAUGGCUGCUAUCUCUGUCUUCUGGAAACACGGCUCCAAUCCUGCAACAACUCUAUACAAGAGCUCCCAGGGGUUCUUAACCUUGGCUGAGCAACAGACCCAUUUGGGAAGAUUUUUAAAAAUCUAGCUUAUGAGAUACCUCAGAUCAAUCAAUCCCUGGCAGUGGGUCUGCUAAACAUCAGAUACAGACAAACAACUGCAUAGAUCUCCAACUAGAUUGAAGAACAGGACCCUCCAGAGAGCUUCCAAGAAGACACCAACCUAGGCAUGGGUUUAUGUUCCUGACAAAGAAUAAGGAUUGUUAUGAAGAAUGUUCUAUUUUGAAUUGUGAAAAUAAUUAUUUAAAGCUGUACAAUUAUCACUCUGAAGACAAGGUCACCCAGGCUGAAGGAAAGCUUUCACUAGACCUUGAUGGCACUAUGGUCAUUAUCUUGUCAAAACUGUGGUGGAUUUGAAGAGCUAGUGAUGAAGAAUGGAGGUUUCCUGUCCUAGAAAUAACCAAAGGCCCAGGCUUGGAGGUGGCAGAAAAAGUGGCACUUAAGGUUAAAUUUCCUGGAUAAAAUCAGAUCAGCCGUGUAAUCACCCUGCUACAAUAAAAGGAGCUCAGUGUGCUUUAUGGCAACCACACCAGUCAAGGGCUCUCUCUGGCACCAAGGGAGCCAUAAGGGCCCCCUGCCAAGUGGAGCUGAGGGAUGCUCGAGGCCAGGGUCUGGACCUUCUCACUAUAAAAAGAAUAGUGAAGUAUACAGAUAUUUACCUACUGAGUUAUGUUUGGGCUGAUAAAAAUGCUCAGAUGUCCAUGUCUUUCACAGGAACAUGGACGGAGCUGGAGGCUACUAUCCUUAGCAAACUAAUGCAGGAACAGAAAACCAAAUGCUGCAUAUCUAAGUGGGAGCUGAAUGGUACUAGCCCAGUAUUUGGAAUUUGCCAAAGCUAUAUUCCUCAGAAUUUACUUCAAGAGCUCCUUUGUAUCGGCGGAGAAUGAAGAACGGAGAAGAGGAGGAGGAGGUUGAAAGAAACUUAAGAGAUGUGGCAACUAAUUGCAACGUGUAGAUUGUAUUUAGCUCAUGAUUCACACAAACUAGAUAUUUGUUAUUAAAGAAUUAUGGUUGUUUUUGGUGUGAU
rnacentral:lncRNA from 1 species